AUUGAACGCUGGCGGCAGGCCUAACACAUGCAAGUCGAACGAGUGGCGGCCGGGUGAGUAAUAUAUCGGAACGUGCCCAGUAGCGGGGGAUAACUACUCGAAAGAGUGGCUAAUAACGCAUCCCAUUGGAACGGCCGAUAGCGGAUUAGGUAGUUGGUGGGGUAAAGGCUCACCAGGGCCACGAUCCGUAGCUGGUUUGAGAGGACGAUCAGCCACACUGGGACUGAGACACGGCCCAGACUCCUACGGGAGGCAGCAGUGGGGAAUUGUGGACAAUGGGGGAAACCCUGAUCCAGCCAUCCCGCGUGUAUGAGAAGGCCUUCGGGUUGUAAAGUACUUUUGGCAGAGAAGCGGUAUCUGCAGAAUAAGCACCGGCUAACUACGUGCCAGCAGCCGCGGUAAUUC
rnacentral:rRNA from 1 species